rnacentral:tRNA from 1 species
UAGGACAUGGUGUAAUGGUAGCACUGAGAAUUUUGAAUUCUUAGGUUUAGGUUCAACCCCUAUUGUUCUAG